AUUGAACGCUGGCGGCAGGCUUAACACAUGCAAGUCGAGCGGAGAUGAGGUGCUUGCACCUUAUCUUAGCGGCGGACGGGUGAGUAAUGCUUAGGAAUCUGCCUAUUAGUGGGGGACAACAUUCCGAAAGGAAUGCUAAUACCGCAUACGUCCUACGGGAGAAAGCAGGGGAUCUUCGGACCUUGCGCUAAUAGAUGAGCCUAAGUCGGAUUAGCUAGUUGGUGGGGUAAAGGCCUACCAAGGCGACGAUCUGUAGCGGGUCUGAGAGGAUGAUCCGCCACACUGGGACUGAGACACGGCCCAGACUCCUACGGGAGGCAGCAGUGGGGAAUAUUGGACAAUGGGGGGAACCCUGAUCCAGCCAUGCCGCGUGUGUGAAGAAGGCCUUAUGGUUGUAAAGCACUUUAAGCGAGGAGGAGGCUACUGAGACUAAUACUCUUGGAUAGUGGACGUUACUCGCAGAAUAAGCACCGGCUAACUCUGUGCCAGCAGCCGCAGUAAGAC
rnacentral:rRNA from 1 species